UACAUAUUUAUUCAAGAGGACUCACAAAAAAUGCAACCAAAAAGGUCUGCAGAGAGGAAACCACUGUUUGCUGGCCGAACCCUCAUUUGACUUUGCUGUGCCCACUCCGUAUCUUACCAAAAUCGAUGUAACGGCCAUUACUGUUUUUUUAUUGUUCAGAUUAAAAAAAGGUAUUGCACACUUUCCUCCUUAUUUGCAGAUUCUUUUUUUUACAGUGACUCUAGGUCACUUCCCAACUCUAAACUGGCCCAGCAUGACUUGAGUGUGGAUGAGUAUAUGGCCACCAAUAUUCUGGCACUUCCUCCAGUGUUGGUUUCUGUCUUGCACUCGAUGCUGCUGGGAUAGGCUGCAGCUCCAAUGGGCCUGAAGAGGACUGAGCAAGUUUGAAAAUGAAAGGCAGACGCAUGUGACCUCCCCCAGAAUACCUGAUUCAGCCCUGCAAGGCAAAGCAGCCGCUAACAUUGACGCACUAUGACUCAUUGCUCAAUGAGCGCCACUUGAGGCUAGAAUUACACUGCUUCAGAAGAGCCUGGCUGCUUUCUGUGUGCAUUUUGCUGGAAGAAUACUGUAAAACAGUCCCUGAGGA